CAGGCCCGCGCCUCGGCCGGCCAUUUUCUUCCUGCUACUGCUGCUGGGCAGCAAGAGCUGCCGUCACACGGCCCUGCUGCUCUGCUCUGACGGAGAGGGGGCUGUGCCUCAUGCACCGGCUAUUAGAGCAGGUGGAGCGCAACGGAUGUGCAACGGAAACGAUGAGUUGUCUAAUUUGUAUAGAUAAGAACCACGUCCCCUGUACAGGGGUGUUGAAGUUUCUGUCAUUGCGGUUGAGCAUAUUCGGAAAGAAAACGCUGAAUCUUCUCAGGUUGCUUCCUGAAUGUGCAUAACUGAAAGCCAUCCAAAGUCGCAUCCAAAGAAUCUGUGUAACUCCAGCUCAAGUAUAACCCCGCAUGAGGCCUGCUCCAAAAGCAACGCAUCCCAUUUCAUUAUGCUGGCCUACAGUGUCAGAGGUGUCUGUUGGAUGUACAGCAGGCAUGUGUUAUCAGACUUUUGUUGGCGGCAGUCAGCCAUACAGCUGGGUCAAAGCAGGGACUUUUGAGGCAGUCCUGACCUGCAUGGAUCCAGUGAUUAAGCCUGGGAUGGAGCAGUGGCUGGACGGAGCUAAUCAGAGCCCGUGCACCCAAGGAUAUGAGCCCACGUACACCUCGCUCUACUUGCGUUACAAUGGCCAGGUACAGAGCUGGUAAUACACAGUGGGAAGCAGAUGAUAACCAGGCAUGUCCAACCUGCAGCCUGCUGGCCACAUGCGGCCCAGCCCAGCCUGUCCUGAGGCCUUCCCCUGCCUCGCGCCAUCAUGGCGGCGGCUCCGCCCCACCCAUCGCUCAGCACCAUUCAAACAUCAGUGUGCUAUUAACGCUGUCUGGGCUGAAGCCAGGGCAUGAGAAGGGUGCAGUGCAGUGCGAACUCAAGUUAUGGCAAAUGAUUGUGUGCAUGUUGAUACAUUAUCUAAGAGUCCUGUGAACAGUAGAAAAAGCUGUGCCUUUUGUUUGAUACAGGAAUCUGAAAAUAGGUUUCAAGCUUCCAAAAAAAAAAA